rnacentral:lncRNA from 1 species
AGAAGAGGGGGGUGCACUGCGGUAUUAUAGGAGGGGGUGACUGGGAGGGGGCAGUGAGUGGAAUGUGAAGUGAAUAAUAAAAUAAAAAUAAUAAAAAACAAUUAUUUGAAUAAAAAAGAAGCACCAUAAUGGAAAUAUAAGAAAAUAAGUACUUCUCUAUCACAAUCAAACUAAAAAAGAAAAAGAGAAGAAACAUGGCCAGUGGGAAUCCCCUCCUCAGUUCCGCAACCAGAGGUCAGAGGGUUGAUGUGCUCCCUCUGACCUCCUGUUUGGGUCAGGCCUUCUUAUAUGAGUCUCACCCAUGCACAGGGCAGAGUGGGCCUCUGCUUCUCUUACUCCUUGCACUUAUAGCCUUUGUGCUUGCUGAACCCACUGCAGUGUUUGGCAGAGCCUCCAAGAAGCUGCUUCAUAGCUGGGCGGUGGUGGCAAAAGCUUUUAAUUCCAGCACUCAAGAGGCAGAGGCAGGAGGAUCUCUGAAUUUGAAGCCAACCUGCUCUACAGAACAAGUUCCGGGAUAGCCAGGGCUACACAGGAAAAAAAAAAAAAAAA